GUGCUCACUUCAGCAGCACAUAUACUAAAAUUGGAAUGACUCGGAGAAGAUUAGCAUGGCCCCUGAGCAAAGAUGACAUGCAAAUUCAUGGUAUUCAUUUUUU
rfam:Callithrix jacchus chromosome 13, whole genome shotgun sequence